rnacentral:lncRNA from 1 species
GCCCAAAGUACUCUUAUUCCAUACUCAUGAGUGGGCUCAUUCCUUCUCAUCCAUCACAGCACAUUAUUAAACAUCACUCUGGCUGGGCGCUGUGGCUGACGUCUGUAAUGCCAGCACUUUGGGAGGCCGAGGCAGGCAGAUCACGAGGUCAGGAGUUCAAGACCAGCCUGGCCAACAUGGUAAAACCCCGUCUCUACUAAAAAUAUAAAAAUUAGCAGAGGGUGGUGGUGCACACCUGUAAUUCCAGUUACUCUGGAGGCUGAGGCAGGAAAAUCGCUUGAACCCAGGAAGCGGAGGUUGCAGUGAGCCAAGAUCGUACCACUGCACUCCAGCCUGGGCAACAGAGUGAAACUCCGUCUCAAAUAAAUAAAUAAAUAAAUAAACAUCACUCUGAUGAGUGGUCUUCCCUGUCUACAGUAAAUUUGCUGUCAUUCUCUCAGGGCACGUUUGUUUCCUUCUCAGACUACACAAUUAUAUAGGUAUUUGUUUGUUCUCUUUUUUUCUGAGUCUUCCUUUAUACCAUAAGCUCCAUGAAGGCAAGAAUUGAGGUCAUCUUUUCCUGCAUUGUGACCGCAGCACACAUCAUAGGCUCUAGCCUACAGGCUCUCCGUCGAUGGCUGCGGAAGGGCUGCUAUUGCCAUGACAACAGGCCAGAUCAUUUCCCUUGUCUUGGCUUUUUUCACAAUCCAGACAACAGAGGCACAGCACAUUUGUCCCAGGCUCGUAGCAGAGCUCUCCCUAAAUAGUCGGAAAUGAGGGAACUUAGUUAUUAUCAGCGUCUCUUUCCGAGUUCAGGAGUUUUCCUUUGCCAGGCUCCUGGUGUUAGUGGGGCAUCUCCAAGGCCUCUAUUUUCUCUCCUACACACACCUUCCCCAACAAGCUGGCCUGCAGACUGACUCAGCAGGGGCAGGCCAAAGGAGAUGCACAGCGUUCCGACUGAAUGGUCUCACCAAGUUCCACCGAGGGCUCCCUCCACUACCUGGGACAGUGGAGUUCCCAGAGAUGCAGGCGUUAUUUACAUAACUCUCCCCUGCAGAGGACACAAGCAGCCGAGGUUUGCUUCAACACCAAGGACAGCUCUUCUGAAAGAGGGGCAGGGAAACCUUCCGCCCUGGAUCGAUUCUAAGACCUGGGGCCAGACGGAGCCAGCCAGCAAGGCUGUCAGAACAGUCAGCAAGGGGGACUGA